UUUGUUUAUAAGUACAUACUAAAUAUAUAUUAUUCAUGUAAUAAAUAAGAUAUCUGGUGUACAUGCUGGAUCAUGGGGAAAAGUCAUUCUAGACAUUCCAGCAAAUCAUAUGAUAUCAACCAAGAACCAAAACCAGAAGAUACAGAAACCGGAGGUGUAAUUGAAAAAAGCAUCAAAGCUAUCAGCGAUGACCAACAAAGUAGCAAAAAAAAUGACUCAUGUGCUGACAACCACAGUAACUCAGACCCUGAAAAGGACAGCAACCCAGUUCCUAACAAGAACACAGACACAAAUUCAACUUAACAUUUGUUUUGUAUGUUUGUUUGUUCUCGAUUUUGUUUAUUAUACUUAUCGGUACUGAUUUUCAACGGUUGAUAACUAGUCUGUAUAAAUGUGUAGCUAGAUAUAAAACAAAACAAUAAAAGACUUUGUUGUCAUCGUUACUAAACCUAACAA